CAGGGGCUGUGACUCAGUGGUAGAGCAUCUGCUUUGAAUUGCAGAAGGAUCCUGGUUCAUUCCCGGCAUCUCUGG
rnacentral:tRNA from 1 species